rnacentral:rRNA from 1 species
AGUGAACGCUGGCGGUAGGCCUAACACAUGCAAGUCGAACGGCAGCACAGUAAGAGCUUGCUCUUACGGGUGGCGAGUGGCGGACGGGUGAGGAAUACAUCGGAAUCUACUUUUUCGUGGGGGAUAACGUAGGGAAACUUACGCUAAUACCGCAUACGACCUACGGGUGAAAGCAGUGGAUCUUCGGACCUUGCGCGAUUGAAUGAGCCGAUGUCGGAUUAGCUAGUUGGCGGGGUAAAGGCCCACCAAGGCGACGAUCCGUAGCUGGUCUGAGAGGAUGAUAAGCCACACUGGAACUGAGACACGGUCCAGACUCCUACGGGAGGCAGCAGUGGGGAAUAUUGGACAAUGGGCGCAAGCCUGAUCCAGCCAUACCGCGUGGGUGAAGAAGGCCUUCGGGUUGUAAAGCCCUUUUGUUGGGAAAGAAAAGCAGCAGGUUAAUACCCCGCUGUUCUGACGGUACCCAAAGAAUAAGCACCGGCUAACUUCGUG